rnacentral:rRNA from 1 species
AGAGUUUGAUCAUGGCUCAGAGCGAACGCUGGCGGCAGGCCUAACACAUGCAAGUCGAACGAACUCUUCGGAGUUAGUGGCGGACGGGUGAGUAACACGUGGGAACGUGCCUUUAGGUUCGGAAUAGCUCCUGGAAACGGGUGGUAAUGCCGAAUGUGCCCUUCGGGGGAAAGAUUUAUCGCCUUUAGAGCGGCCCGCGUCUGAUUAGCUAGUUGGUGGGGUAAUGGCCCACCAAGGCUACGAUCAGUAGCUGGUCUGAGAGGAUGACCAGCCACAUUGGGACUGAGACACGGCCCAAACUCCUACGGGAGGCAGCAGUGGGGAAUCUUGCGCAAUGGGCGAAAGCCUGACGCAGCCAUGCCGCGUGUAUGAUGAAGGUCUUAGGAUUGUAAAAUACUUUCACCGGUGAAGAUAAUGACUGUAGCCGGAGAAGAAGCCCCGGCUAACUUCGUGCCAGCAGCCGCGGUAAUACGAAGGGGGCUAGCGUUGCUCGGAAUUACUGGGCGUAAAGGGAGCGUAGGCGGACAUUUAAGUCAGAGGUGAAAUCCCGGAGCUUAACUUCGGAACUGCCUUUGAUACUGGGUGUCUUGAGUGUGAGAGAGGUAUGUGGAACUCCGAGUGUAGAGGUGAAAUUCGUAGAUAUUCGGAAGAACACCAGUGGCGAAGGCGACAUACUGGCUCAUUACUGACGCUGAGGCUCGAAAGCGUGGGGAGCAAACAGGAUUAGAUACCCUGGUAGUCC